CUGUCUAGGAAGUCUCCUUACGUGCAAACAGCUCACCGUGUAAGAUUUUACUUGGUUAGCUGAUUAGGUCCAUUGAUAAGAGUCUUCGUUCAGGAAUUUGGAACAUGCUAAUAUGUCCCGUUUACUGAACUGGCUUGCUUUUCAUGAUAGUUCAUCCAUAAACAAAUUAGCUCAUAGUUGGUUCCCAUCUUUUGAAAUUUGAAAGAUCCUGAUCAUAUGUUUCUCUGUAUCUAUUAGGUGAGUCAACUCAUGUUAGCCAGUCUUACCGGCAUCCACCACUUAUUCUCCAAGUGCUUGUCUGCUGCUUUCUUUUGUUUGAGUAUGGACAUCUAAUUAGGUUUUCCACAGUUCUAAGUUAUCAGAACUCUCAGACUGAACCAGAAUAUUGAAACAUGUUCAGGACAACGAUCUUUCAGAAUUUGAUGGAUCCGGAUAUAUGAUUGAGAGUCUUGUCGAUGAGUACAAGGCUUGUGAGUCCCCAGAUUACAUCAAGUGGGGAAUAAGGAUCCUGACCAUCUCAUGUCUGGAGAAGGUUCAUAUCUGAUAUAAAUGAGUUAUAUUGGGUGCAUUUGAUCUGAGUGACUACUUCUACAAUGUAACUAGUGAAUUUUCUAACUAAAUAUACGGUUGAGCCUUGCUAACCCUGCAUCAAAUAUGUUGGUGUGUAUCAUCAGUAAAAAAAAUACUUUUGCCACACAGCUCGACAUUGGAGUUUUCGAGUUAUUGGUGUUCAUAUUUUUCAAAUCGGUGAUUAAACUUGUUUGGAUUUAUAACUCACUAAUUUAACCAAUUUGUUUAUGCAUUAAGACCACAUUUUCUGUAAGACUACCUUUUGUUGCCUCUCGUCUCGCUUACAGAUUACUGGGCGGCUUCAUUGGACUUGCAGUAUUCUUACCAUUCUGUUGUGUUGUAUAUACUGUCUGUAGAUGUGCCACUUAGCCUCCGGGUUUUGUUUUGACAGGGAACUGUGCGUUAAAGCCAAGUAGGAAAGGUGAAUAGUGAAUUUGAGUUCCAGUUAUGCUUGUUCAUCGUCCCCAUAUUCAUAGCACAUUUGAAGUUUGAGAAUAUUUUGUUCCCUUUUUUCGGUGUUUCCUUUUGUAGUUACAAACAUAAGUUUGUGUAUGGAAAUCAAUCAGUUCAUCGCGU